AAGUCGAGCGAGAAGUUGGAAGUGAAGAUUCGAUUGGAACGGAAAAUGGAAAGCGGCAGACGGGUGAGUAACGCGUGAAUAAUCAACCCUGCACAAAGGGAUAGCCUCGGGAAACCGGGAUUAAUACCAUAUGAAGUAUAUUAAUCGAAUGAUAGAUAUAUUAAAGUUUUUAACGGUGCAGGACGAGUACGCGUCCCAUUAGCUAGUUGGUGAGAUAACAGCUUACCAAGGCGACGAUGGGUAGCCGGCCUGAGAGGGUGAACGGCCACACUGGAACUGAGACACGGUCCAGACUCCUACGGGAGGCAGCAGUGGGGAAUAUUGCACAAUGGAGGAAACUCUGAUGCAGCGACGCCGCGUGAGCGAAGAAGGCUUUCGAGUCGUAAAAGCUCUGUCCUAAGAGAAGAAGAAGUGACGGUAUCUUAGGAGGAAGCCCCGGCUAACUACGUGCCAGCAGCCGCGGUAAUACGUAGGGGGCUAGCGUAGUCCGGAAUUACUGGGCGUAAAGGGUG
rnacentral:rRNA from 1 species